rnacentral:rRNA from 1 species
AUUGAACGCUGGCGGCAGGCCUAACACAUGCAAGUCGAACGAGUGGCGGACGGGUGAGUAAUGUCUGGGAAACUGCCUGAUGGAGGGGGAUAACUACUGGAAACGGUAGCUAAUACCGCAUACCAUCGGAUGUGCCCAGAUGGGAUUAGAUAGUAGGUGGGGUAACGGCUCACCUAGGCGACGGUCCCUAGCUGGUCUGAGCGGAUGACCAGACACCCUGGAACUGUGACACGGUCCAGCCUCCUACGGGAGGCAGCAGUGGGGAAUAUUGCACAAUGGGCGCAAGCCUGAUGCAGCCAUGCCGCGUGUAUGAAGAAGGCCUUCGGGUUGUAAAGUACGUUCAUCGGGGAGGCGUUACCCGCAGAAGAAGCACCGGCUACCUCCGUGCCAGCAGCCGCGGUAAUUC